rnacentral:rRNA from 1 species
AGUCGAGCGGAUGAGAGGAGCUUGCUCCUUGAUUUAGCGGCGGACGGGUGAGUAAUGCCUAGGAAUCUGCCUGGUAGUGGGGGAUAACGUUCCGAAAGGAACGCUAAUACCGCAUACGUCCUACGGGAGAAAGCAGGGGACCUUCGGGCCUUGCGCUAUCAGAUGAGCCUAGGUCGGAUUAGCUAGUUGGUGAGGUAAUGGCUCACCAAGGCGACGAUCCGUAACUGGUCUGAGAGGAUGAUCAGUCACACUGGAACUGAGACACGGUCCAGACUCCUACGGGAGGCAGCAGUGGGGAAUAUUGGACAAUGGGCGAAAGCCUGAUCCAGCCAUGCCGCAUGUGUGAAGAAGGUCUUCGGAUUGUAAAGCACUUUAAGUUGGGAGGAAGGGCAGUAAGCUAAUACCUUGCUGUUUUGACGUUACCGACAGAAUAAGCACCGGCUAACUUCGUGCCAGCAGCCGCGGUAAUACGAAGGGUGCAAGCGUUAAUCGGAAUUACUGGGCGUAAAGCGCGCGUAGGUGGUUCGUUAAGUUGGAUGUGAAAGCCCCGGGCUCAACCUGGGAACUGCAUCCAAAACUGGCGAGCUAGAGUACGGUAGAGGGUGGUGGAAUUUCCUGUGUAGCGGUGAAAUGCGUAGAUAUAGGAAGGAACACCAGUGGCGAA